rnacentral:rRNA from 1 species
AACGAACGCUGGCGGCAUGCCUAACACAUGCAAGUCGAACGAGACCUUCGGGUCUAGUGGCGCACGGGUGCGUAACGCGUGGGAACCUGCCCUUAGGUUCGGAAUAACUCCCCGACAGGGGUGCUAAUACCGGAUAAUGUCUUCGGACCAAAGAUUUAUCGCCUUUGGAUGGGCCCGCGUUGGAUUAGCUAGUUGGUAGGGUAAAAGCCUACCAAGGCGACGAUCCAUAGCUGGUCUGAGAGGAUGAUCAGCCACACUGGGACUGAGACACGGCCCAGACUCCUACGGGAGGAAGCAGUGGGGAAUAUUGGACCAUGGGCGAAAGCCUGAUCCAGCAAUGCCGCGUGAGUGAUGAAGGCCUUAGGGUUGUAAAGCUCUUUUACCCGGGAUGAUAAUGACGGUACCGGGAGAAUAAGCGCCGGCUAACUCCGUG